UACGUAGGGGGCAAGCGUUGUCCGGAAUCAUUGGGCGUAAAGAGCGUGUAGGCGGCCAGGUAGGUCCGCUGUGAAAACUCGAGGCUCAACCUCGAGAUGUCGGCGGAAACCACUUGGCUAGAGUCCGGAAGAGGAGAGUGGAAUUCCUGGUGUAGCGGUGAAAUGCGCAGAUAUCAGGAAGAACACCUAUGGCGAAGGCAGCUCUCUGGGACGGUACUGACGCUGAGACGCGAAAGCGUGGGGAGCGAACAGG
rnacentral:rRNA from 1 species